rnacentral:rRNA from 1 species
UAGGGAAUCUUCGGCAAUGGACGAAAGUCUGACCGAGCAACGCCGCGUGAGUGAAGAAGGUUUUCGGAUCGUAAAACUCUGUUGUUAGAGAAGAACAAUGACGUUAGUAACUGAACGUCCCCUGACGGUAUCUAACCAGAAAGCCACGGCUAACUACGUGCCAGCAGCCGCGGUAAUACGUAGGUGGCAAGCGUUGUCCGGAUUUAUUGGGCGUAAAGCGAGCGCAGGCGGUUUCUUAAGUCUGAUGUGAAAGCCCCCGGCUCAACCGGGGAGGGUCAUUGGAAACUGGGAGACUUAAGUGCAGAAGAGGAGAGUGGAAUUCCAUGUGUAGCGGUGAAAUGCGUAGAUAUAUGGAGGAACACCAGUGGCGAAGGCGGCUCUCUGGUCUGUAACUGACGCUGAGGCUCGAAAGCGUGGGGAGCAAACAGG